CGGCGCAAUCAGCAACCACUGCACGUUCCUCCCCGCUCCCCUCCUGGAGGAGCCGAAACAAACAGGGCAAGCCUGCCCUGCUUUGAUUCCGAGCAGACUAGCAGGGUCAGCCCCUAUUCCCAGGCCCUUGGGGGUCCAAGUUCAAAGGGACAAACACGUGCCCUUGCUCCAGCUCUAUGGGUCCCAGCACCAAACCACAGCCCCCACCAGCCCUGGUGCUGCCCCUGCAGUUACUGUAGCAAGGCGAACCCUGUGCAGAGGCAAAGCCGGGGACUGGGAGCCUGUGGCCGUGGGCAGGCGAAGGCGUGUGUCGUCAUGGUGACCCAGGACUUCCAGAACCAUCUAGCCUCAAUGGGCCUCCUCUCUGGGGUUCCAGGGCUUUCUUUCAGUCUCUCCUGCAAGUCCUCUCUACAUGAUGGCAAUGUUUUCUCUCAAGGUCCCGCAAAGGCGCCACACUUGGGAGGCAGCGUAGAGUGGCACAGCUCUGCCACCACUUGGCAUCACCCCUGCAGCCUCAGCGCCCUUGUGGGUGAAGCAGAGAGAAUCGUGUGACCAUGUCGAAGAGUCUGCUCUCCGAGAGAUGAAUGGUCAUCAAUCCAAUGGCACUCCCGUUAACUCUGCAGAGUACCAGGCUCCUCCUACGUGUUUAUAACUCCUCCUCCCUCUACUGACUGUAUCUUGUUCCCUCCAUCUCUUCUAUUGAAAUUCCACCCACUAAUAAUAAUAAUAAUAAUAAUAAUAAUAAAAAUCCGGAUCAAAGGAAACUUCCUCCUCCACACCACACAGAAUUCCCUCCACCCUCUGUGCUCACUUUAUUGGCACAUACAGUAGAGCACUUAUCACAGUUUCCCCUAGGCUAUAGCUGUGUGUGGCCGUGUCUUAAGUCCCUGGAGACAGUGACUUCCAUCUUAUUCUAUAGAGCCACCCAAGCACCGAGUCUUCAACACAACAGGUGUUCAGUCGAUAUUUGCUAAAUAUAUGUUAAGUGAAGAAAUGAAUUAGAUUCCCUGAGAUAACCAUGGGGACUUGGCCAGAUUAAGUCUGAGGUCCGAGAGCCAAGAGCUCUCCAAGUGGAUUUGGACUCAGCCAAGGAGAUCGCAGGUGCUAUCAAUAAUGCUAAUGAGCAAUAAUAACAUUGAUUGAGUGCCUACUGUAUGCCCCGUGCUGUUCUAAACUAUCUACAGAGUAUGCUCUGGGAUCUUCACAACUGGCCCACGACAUUAGUUCUGCCUGCAUCUCUAGGUUCCAGCCAAGCCCUGGGAGGACUUGGGGCUUCCGUCCAAGAUCGAAGCUGGCCGGUGACGGGGGAGGGCAGCUGCAUCAGGCGAGCUGGCUCCCACAGCAGCAGGCCCAGAAGCAAGAAUUGGCUGAGAGUGUUGGCCUGUUGACCAGCCUGAUGAACAGAAACGAGGUUCGCAUUGGGGAAACGAAAGGAACACAAGAGGAGGGAACUGGCUUGGGACUUCUAGAGGCGAGCCACACUGACACGCGAGCGGGGUUACUUCUACGCUGCCAGGUUAGCCCACGGGGAUAGGGGAAGAGGGAGCCGUCCACCAGGAAGCCCCAGGCCCAUUGCACUUCCCCCUCUGCCUUCCCAGGCAGCCUCACGGCAGGCACUGUGCACCAGACAUAAAGAACACAGGGCCUGGAUCCAAACUCUGGUUGGGUUGGCUGUGAGGACGGUGGGCAAGCUAUUCAAGCACUUUGAGCUUUGGAUCUCUCGCUCAUAAAACAGGUAGAAAAAAACGGGAUGUACCUCCGAGGGUUUCGAUGGGCAUCAAAUGAAAUACAUGCAAGCAGCAGCUGGCACAGUGCCCAGCCACAAACCCACCAGUGUGGCUGAGCGACAACUCCCGGGUUCUUUGGUGGCCCCAACAGGGCAGAUACAGAAGAAGUUUGAGGUGCAGAGGGUUAGCCACUCGGCACGAAGCCUUUCAAAGAAAGGAACUCUACCGCACACAAGAUUUCCCAAUUGUUCACCUGCCAGCAAGGAAGGGCAAAGGCUGCCCAUGUGACCUAUCGUGCUGCAACCACUCCGUGGCAUGAAAAGCUUCCUUUGUGGGGUGUUAAGUGAUUU